UUUUCCAAUAGUGCGCCACAUCGCCCCCCGUUUGUACAGAGAUUUGUCCAAGUAGCACGCCCACAUGUUCUUCUCUCUUCGAGUCAAUUACUGCCUGCGCAAACGAUUUCCUCUCUCUCUGCAGAAAUCGUGGUCUCUGUUUUCUUCCCUCUACCACCUGAUUGUCCUUACAAUCAAAUCUCGUCAUCGUUCAAGUUUUCACACAUAGUUACAUAUAUAUACGUAUUUUUUGUAAAGAGGGAAACAAGGAUCAAAAAUGCCGCGAAAGAAUUUUAUAGUUGAAGUGGAACCAGCAAAGGAAGCUAGGCCACCGAUGGGACCAGUUUAUCGAAGUGUUUUUGCUAAGGAUGGAUUUCCGGAGCCGAUUCCAGGACUUGACUGCUGCUGGGAUAUUUUCCGGUGAAUUUUUUGACCCUCUGUGUUCUCGAGUUUAUUUGAAAAGUGAUUUGGAGAUUUAUUUGCAUAAUUUUAUUCAACAUUUAUCAAUUCAUUUUCGUAUUUUGAUGUUUUGGAUUCGAAGUUUAAUUGUGGAGAGGUAUUUUGAAGUGUGUGUGUUGAAUCUGUUAAUGAUUUUUCCUAUUUUCCCCCCCCUUCCUGUUAUUACGUCUCAUUGCAGGUUUGACUUUUAUAAGAUGUCAAGAUUUGAUGUGUAAAAUAUGGAAUUUUGCAAUUGAUUUUGCACAGACUUGACAAAAAGAUCUGAGUUACUACUGGUUAAAGUUUGUCUUUAUCCGCUGCAUCACUCAAAACUGAAGUUUCUGCUUUAGAUGGAGUUAUGGAAGUUUUCAACUUGAAAGCUACAAAAUUGACUACGCAAAUAUGGAUAUACCACACUUACAUGAAUUUGAUGCACAUAUAUAUCACAAUAUGUAUACACCACAAUUUGAUGUGCAUAUAUAUGUUAAAUGUAUAGGAGCAAAAAGAAAUUGUGUUUUGGAAAAUUGAUUUUGAUGAAUAUGGAAGUUUUUAGCAUGAAAGCCAUGAUCUUGACUGCACAAAUAAGGAUAUACCCCAGUUUGAUGAUUUUGAUGCACAUAUAUGCCCCACGAACUUUUCACCUCAAGUGGCUACCUUGGAUCUGAACCAUUAAAUCAAAUUCAUAUCGAUGAUGAGCUACCAAGCCAAAAUGUAUAUACUUUCCUAUUUCUAUUUUUCUGAGAAUUGUUGGAAUAAUCAGUGUACGCUUUUAUUCCCCUAUGUGUUAGUGCCCUAGUUUAUGCAUUAUUGCAUCAGCAAGUCAAGUGUUUACCAUUGAAAAGAAAAGAAGGAUUAAUUAGCUUGCUUGAGUUAGUUCCAAUAGUUGAUUUGAUAGUAUGGUUGCAUAAAUAUACUGCUUGAAUUAUACCUCUUUGCCUUUCAUUUCACUUUUUAUGUUGAACAUAGAUUGAACUCAACUUUUUUCUGUCACAGUUUGUCAGUAGAUAAAUAUCCAAAUAACCGAAUGCUUGGUCGUCGUGAGAUCGUUGAUGGAAAGGUAGAUUGCAUGGUAGAAGCAAUUUAUGCAUCCAUGCUUGUAACAUUGACUUCCUACUUAUUUUCCCCCCUUUUCAUUUGAUGCGGACUGGCAAGAAAGGAUUCAUGGCUACCCCCAAUUAUUGUAUAUAAGACUUAGUUCAUAGUUUGUGGUUGUUUUGUAUUACACCUAAUUUUUGGAGUUGUUGCUUUUACUUACAGCCCGAUAAAUAUGUAUGGAUGACUUACCAAGAAGUAUAUGACUUAGUGGUCAAAGUUGGGAACUCCAUUCGCAGCUGCGGCAUUGAGGAAGUAAGUUGUUAUCUAGUGUGUCUCAAAACUUUCUCUCAUAGCUGCUUUCUAGUCUGUCUUCUGUGUUUGAUAAGAAAUGAAAUUCUAUUAAUGAAAAGGCUAUAUUCAUUAUUCAUGGUGGGAUUAGAUGUCCUUUGAAAUCAUGAAGAAUUAUUUCCAACUGAGAACAAAUGCCUUAGAUGUUGAGGCCCAUAAGUAACAAUGACAAGAAUUUUGUCUAUUCCCAUAACUCAAGAAUAUCUUUCUUCUCUCUUUCAAAAUUCUGCAAUUGCUCUCUUUCUAUAUCACCCUGAAGGACAGCAACAUUACUAUGCCUUUCUUCCCAAACAAAAACCAAUUUACAUUUAGAGGAAUAAAUGAAGCUAAGUCUACUUCAUGCAAUAAUCCUCCAUGUAGCAUCCAUGCAACUUCACAAUGUAAAAGCAGAUGAUCAACCCAUUUGGAUCCAACUACAAAUUACGCAGCAUGAAAGAGAAUAUGAAAAGACUUGGGAUGCUUCAUCUGAAUUAAAUCGCCAUUGCCAAUCUUUUUCUUCUGGGUUUUUCCUGUUCUAAUGUCAUUUUAUGUCUGUCAUUCUGUCGUACAUAUUAUCAGGCUAGCUUUCCCAGUUUCAAACACUAUGAAGACGCAUAGUCUUCUUAAUAGGCUUUCCCGUACCCAAGUUUUUUUGAAGAAUCUACCAUUAAAAAGUUAUUUCAAAGUUACCUUGCAGACAACCAGCUAUGUCGGGUUCACUUUCUUACUUUCAAUGUCAUAUCUUGGUACUUCAUUUGCCAAAUAUAGCAUGGUUUGUUAACUUUGCUUACGGGUUAUAUAAAUAUUUAUUUGGCAAAUGUUGUUAGAUUUCUGAGUUGUGACAUUGUAUUCUCUAUUCUUUUUUAAUUUUUGUUGUUUCUCUUUAUGUUGAUUUAUUUGACUUCUGCCUGGUAUGACUCAUUAAAGUUGAUUAGGUUCAGUCUUCUAUAAAAUACUAAUUGACAUGCAAAAAACUUAAUAUCUCACUUUCUGUUCAAUUUAAUAACAAUUAUAGGAAGGCCGAUGUGGUAUUUAUGGCGCUAAUUGCCCAGAGUGGAUUAUGAGUAUGGAGGUACUCUCUUUUUACUAUUUCUGCUCUUCCCUUUUCUCUGAAUGUGUGCAUAUGUAAGCAGCAUGUUGUAAGUAUCAUUAUGAGAGAAAAAACAUGUUAUAAUCAACUGUGCGAGAAAUAACCUCCGUAGUCCUUCAGGUCCUUGUUAUUUUAUGAGUCACAUGAACUAAUUCUAAUAAACUAUUCUAUUAUGUCUUCUCAUA
rnacentral:lncRNA from 1 species